CCGUGCCCAAUAGAUCGGGAUAACACCUGGAAACAGAUGCUAAUACCGGAUAACAACAGAUGAUGCCUAUCAACUGUUUAAAAGAUGGUUCUGCUAUCACUCUUGGAUGGACCUGCGGUGCAUUAGCUAGUUGGUAGGGUAACGGCCUACCAAGGCGAUGAUGCAUAGCCGAGUUGAGAGACUGAUCGGCCACAUUGGGACUGAGACACGGCCCAAACUCCCUACGGGAGGCAGCAGCA
rnacentral:rRNA from 1 species